rnacentral:rRNA from 1 species
UACGGAGGGUGCAAGCGUUAUCCGGAUUCACUGGGUUUAAAGGGUGCGUAGGAGGGCAGGUAAGUCAGUGGUGAAAUCUCCAAGCUUAACUUGGAAACUGCCAUUGAUACUAUUGGUCUUGAAUGUUGUGGAGGUGGGCGGAACGGGUCAUGUAGCGGUGAAAUGCUUAGAGAUGACCCGGAACACGAUUGCGAAGGCAGCCCACUACGCAACUAUGACGCUGAGCACG